rnacentral:rRNA from 1 species
AAAAAAGGUAAGCUACUAAGAGCGAAUGGUGGAUGCCUUGACUGGUAAAGGCGAUGAAGGACGUACUAGACUGCGAUAAGCUACGGGGAGCUGUCAAGAAGCUUUGAUCCGUAGAUUUCCGAAUGGGGCAACCCAAUGUAUAGAGAUAUACAUUACCUAUAUAGGAGCGAACGAGGGGAAUUGAAACAUCUUAGUACCCUCAGGAAAAGAAAUCAAUAGAGAUUGCGUCAGUAGCGGCGAGCGAAAGCGCAAGAGGGCAAACCCAGUGCUUGCACUGGGGGUUGUAGGACUGCAAUGUGCAAGAGGUGAGUUUAGCAGAACAUUCUGGAAAGUAUAGCCAUAGAGGGUGAUAGUCCCGUAUGCGAAAAACAAACCUUAGCUAGCAGUAUCCUGAGUAGGGCGGGACACGAGAAAUCCUGUCUGAAGCUGGGUCGACCACGAUCCAACCCUAAAUACUAAUACCAGAUCGAUAGUGCACAAGUACCGUGAGGGAAAGGUGAAAAGAACUGAGGUGAUCAGAGUGAAAUAGAACCUGAAACCAUUUGCUUACAAUCAUUCAGAGCCCUAUGUAGCAAUACAGGGUGAUGGACUGCCUUUUGCAUAAUGAGCCUGCGAGUUGUGGUGUCUGGCAAGGUUAAGCAAACGCGAAGCCGUAGCGAAAGCGAGUCUGAAUAGGGCGCUUAGUCAGAUGCUGCAGACCCGAAACGAAGUGAUCUAUCCAUGAGCAAGUUGAAGCUAGUGUAAGAACUAGUGGAGGACUGAACCCAUAGGCGUUGAAAAGCCCCGGGAUGACUUGUGGAUAGGGGUGAAAGGCCAAUCAAACUUCGUGAUAGCUGGUUCUCUCCGAAAUAUAUUUAGGUAUAGCGUUGUGUCGUAAUAUAAGGGGGUAGAGCACUGAAUGGGCUAGGGCAUACACCAAUGUACCAAACCCUAUCAAACUCCGAAUACCUUAUAUGUAAUCACAGCAGUCAGGCGGCGAGUGAUAAAAUCCGUCGUCAAGAGGGAAACAACCCAGACUACCAGCUAAGGUCCCUAAAUCUUACUUAAGUGGAAAACGAUGUGAAGUUACUUAAACAACCAGGAGGUUGGCUUAGAAGCAGCCAUCCUUUAAAGAAAGCGUAAUAGCUCACUGGUCUAGUGAUUUUGCGCGGAAAAUAUAACGGGGCUAAAGUAAGUACCGAAGCUGUAGACUUGCGCACAACUUAGAUUAUUUAAGUUUAGAAUAUGAGAAACUAAGUUAUAUGUUUAGUUAUAUUUUUACUGAUUUUUAUAGAGUAAAGAUAGAAAUAAAACUUAGUAAAAUCAGUAAAAAUAUUCUUAGACUAAAGUUAAGUAGUUUAAGUUGUGUGCAAGUGGUAGGAGAGCGUUCUAUUUGCGUCGAAGGUAUACCGGUAAGGAGUGCUGGAGCGAAUAGAAGUGAGCAUGCAGGCAUGAGUAGCGAUAAUUAAUGUGAGAAUCAUUAACGCCGUAAACCCAAGGUUUCCUACGCGAUGCUCGUCAUCGUAGGGUUAGUCGGGUCCUAAGUCGAGUCCGAAAGGGGUAGACGAUGGCAAAUUGGUUAAUAUUCCAAUACCAACAUUAGUGUGCGAUGGAAGGACGCUUAGGGCUAAGGGGGCUAGCGGAUGGAAGUGCUAGUCUAAGGUCGUAGGAGGUUAUACAGGCAAAUCCGUAUAACAAUACUCCGAGAACUGAAAGGCUU